CGGAACGGAGCUAAUACCGGAUAAUAUUUUGAACCGCAUGGUUCAAAAGUGAAAGACGGUCUUGCUGUCACUUAUAGAUGGAUCCGCGCUGCAUUAGCUAGUUGGUAAGGUAACGGCUUACCAAGGCAACGAUGCAUAGCCGACCUGAGAGGGUGAUCGGCCACACUGGAACUGAGACACGGUCCAG
rnacentral:rRNA from 1 species